rnacentral:rRNA from 1 species
UACAGAGGUCUCAAGCGUUGUUCGGAAUCAUUGGGCGUAAAGGGCGUGUAGGCGGUUUGUUAAGUCAUGUGUGAAAUCCCUCGGCUCAACCGGGGAACGACGCAUGAAACUGGCAAGCUAGAGUACCAAAGAGGGGGUGGAAUUCCCGGUGUAGCGGUGAAAUGCAUUGAGAUCGGAAAGAACACCAACGGCGAAAGCACUCUGCUGGGCCGACACUGACACUGAGAGACGAAAGCUAGGGGAGCAAAUGGG